GACGAACGCUGGCGGCGUGCUUAACACAUGCAAGUCGAACGGAAAGGCCUGCUUUCCCUUGUGGAUUGCGGGUACUCGCGUGGCGAACGGGUGAGUAACACGUGAGUGAUCUGCCCCCAACUUGGGUAUAAGCCUGGGAAACUGGGUCUAAUUCCCGAUAGGACUGCAGGGUGGUGCCUGUGGUGGAAAACGAUUUUCUAGUGGUUGGGGAUGGGCUCGCGGCCUAUCAGCUUGUUGGUGGGGUAAUGGCCGACCAAGGCGGCGACGGGUAGGCGCGCUGGGAGGGUGGACGGGGACAUUGGAACUGGGAUACACCCCAGCGUGCGACGGGAGGCAGCAGUGGGGAAUAAUGGACAAUGGGCUGAAGCCUGAAGCAGCGGCGCGGGAUGGGGGAUGACGGGCUGCGGGUCGUAAACUCCUGGCGAGCGCGGGGUAGCCACCUGGUUGGAAGGGUGGUGACGGUAGUGGUAGAAGAAGCACCGGCUAACUACGUG
rnacentral:rRNA from 1 species